AAAAAAGAACCCGAUCAACCACUGUUUUGCUGUUCAGAAGUCUGUCUAUAAUUCAUCAUAAACUAAAGGAACACAGGUCAGAUUCGGACAACGACUUCAAAUUCGUUCGCAGAAUACGCUAAACAAUUGGACGACGGAUACACUGGAUGAUAAUGUAGAUGGUCCAGGAUUAUCUGGGAAGGAAACUACAGGUGUUGAACACAGAAAACCGUUUACAAGAAAACAACUGGAGUUUGUGAAAGCUGCAAGAAAUUAAUCUUGCCGGGUACGCAUUCACUUCACCGUGGUCGAGUGCAGCACAGUGGAUAAAUGUAUUGCUGAAGGAAAACACCAUUGCUAGGAUUCAAACCCACGACACUCUGCUGAAAGGUGAGAGUCAGAACCACUAGACCACGACGCACCCACAGUUAACAAGCUGAUGUCAUACCCCCACUUGUUCUUUUGUAUUUUAUAACAAGAAGUCAUGUUUAUUCACAUUUUGACCUCCAAGAACUAAAAAGUGGAGUGAAGAUUUAUUUAAUGUAAACGCAUGCAUUGCUUGAAAUCAUUUUAUGCUACGUGGGACAUAUCAUACACACGUGUACGAAAAUAUGAAAUUAUUAUGAUUUCAUUUUAUAACAUAAGCCUAACACAUAUUCCUGACGAUCAUGUGCACAUACCAGUAAUUUUUCCCAAAAUGUUGCUAAACCUUCAAAUCAAAGACUUUGUUAUCAGAUUUUAACGAAAUUGUCAACAUUAUGCUUUUCUGAUUAAUUCUCUUCCUACCUAAAUCUCCCCUUUCCUCAUGCUUUCUUUCUAUGGACCCUUCAUUCUCCUUAUAACUAUGUUAUAUGUAAAAUGUAACCGGUCUUCCAACCCAUUUGAUUGAAGGGCUAGGUACUCUAGACUGAAAGUUAUGUGAUUUAAAUUCAAAGAGUACAUCAGACAAAAAAAAAACACUGAAAAUUUCAUCAAAAUUGAAUGA